UGCCAGCAGCCGCGGUAAUACUGAAGGUGCAAGCGUUAAUCGGAAUCACUGGGCGUAAAGCGUGCGCAGGCGGUUGUGCAAGACCGAUGUGAAAUCCCCGAGCUUAACUUGGGAAUUGCAUUGGUGACUGCGCGGCUAGAGUGUGUCAGAGGGGGGUAGAAUUCCACGUGUAGCAGUGAAAUGCGUAGAGAUGUGGAGGAAUACCGAUGGCGAAGGCAGCCCCCUGGGAUAACACUGACGCUCAUGCACGAAAGCGUGGGGAGCAAACAGGAUUAGAUA
rnacentral:rRNA from 1 species